rnacentral:rRNA from 1 species
CGUGCCAGCAGCCGCGGUAAUACGUAGGGUGCAAGCGUUAAUCGGAAUUACUGGGCGUAAAGCGUGCGCAGGCGGUUGUGUAAGACAGGUGUGAAAUCCCCGGGCUUAACCUGGGAAUGGCAUUUGUGACUGCACGGCUAGAGUGUGUCAGAGGGGGGUAGAAUUCCACGUGUAGCAGUGAAAUGCGUAGAGAUGUGGAGGAAUACCGAUGGCGAAGGCAGCCCCCUGGGAUAACACUGACGCUCAUGCACGAAAGCGUGGGGAGCAAAACAGGAUUAGAUACCCUGGUAGUCCACGCCCUAAACGAUGUCUACUGGUUGUCGGGUCUUAAUUGACUUGGUAACGCAGCUAACGCGUGAAGUAGACCGCCUGGGGAGUACGGUCGCAAGAUUAAAACUCAAAGGAAUUGACGGGGACCCGCGCAAGCGGUGGAUGAUGUGGAUUAAUUCGAUGCAACGCGAAAAACCUUACCUACCCUUGACAUGUACAGAAUCCCGAAGAGAUUUGGGAGUGUUCGAAAGAAAAAGAAAGCUGUAACACAGGUGCUGCAUGGCUGUCGUCAGCUCGUGUCGAGAGAUGUUGGGUUAAGUCCCGCAACGAGCGCAGCCCUUGUCAUUAGUUGCUACGAAAGGGCACUCUAAUGAGACUGCCGGUGACAAACCGGAGGAAGGUGGGGAUGACGUCAAGUCCUCAUGGCCCUUAUGGGUAGGGCUUCACACGUCAUACAAUGGUACAUACAGAGGGCCGCCAACCCGCGAGGGGGAGCUAAUCCCAGAAAGUGUAUCGUAGUCCGGAUUGUAGCCUGCAACUCGACUACAUGAAGUUGGAAUCGCUAGUAAUCGCGGAUCAGCAUGUCGCGGUGAAUACGUCCCGGGUCUUGAC